UACGGGGGGAGCAAGCGUUGUUCGGAUUUACUGGGCGUAAAGGGCGCGUAGGCGGCCAGCACAAGUCAGUUGUGAAAUCUCCGAGCUUAACUCGGAACGGUCAACUGAUACUGUGCGGCUAGAGUGCGGAAGGGGCAACUGGAAUUCUUGGUGUAGCGGUGAAAUGCGUAGAUAUCAAGAGGAACACCUGCGGCGAAGGCGGGUUGCUGGGCCGACACUGACGCUGAGGCGCGAAAGCUAGGGGGAGCAAACGGG
rnacentral:rRNA from 1 species